rnacentral:tRNA from 1 species
GGGCAUAGCUCAGUGGUAGAGCGACUCCUUGCCAAGGAGUAGGUCGCGGGUUCGAAUCUCGUUGCCC